AGGAGCCAGUAGCCAAGAAGCCACUUGAGGAAAGGUGUUGUCUGAUGUUUGGUGCCACGGCGAGAUGCGCCGCUGCGUGAUGGAGACCACUGCCAGAAAGGCCCCAUCCCCCUGCGGGCAUCCUUUCUGCGAGGGACACGCUUUUGUUUCUUACCAUGGUUUCCCAAAGGAGUGGGAAGGCACAGGAGCGGGAUGACCUCUUUCUCCUCCCAUUUAGCUGUGUGACAUUUUCCAGUGGGAAGCGGACAAGCAUCCCAAUGCUCUGGUUUAACUGUCCUUACCAUGACUUCAGGAGGGAUCUAAUCAGAGCUAUGAUCAUCACACAGCAUUGGACUAUCUCCUUUCAGAGCCUCCCGAGGGCUUCCCAACUUCUCCCGCAGCGCCUGUCCAUCUCCGCAUCUCCUCCCGCUGCUGAGGUCUGCAGCAUGAUGCUGUCACUGUGAUGAGCCAGAGCGUGGGCUGUAGCUUCAGAUCUGUGAUGGCCUUCCCAGCUAGGCAAUGGACCUACCUCGCCGUUUGCUGCUGCCAUCCAUCACUGCGGCGAUGAAAAGCAGCCCCGCGCUGGCCGGCGGCAGCCGAUGUCUUGGCUGGGCCCAUGUGCUCCUCUGGCACUGGGAACUCAUUUCAAAGGCCAAGGAGGAAAGGCGGCCCCAGGAGCUGUGUAAAACGAACCAAACCCCAUCAAUGUGCGAUUUCUCCUGCCAGGCACCGAGCGUCGGCGGUAACGCCUAACAAAGCAUCACGAAUUUGAAACCAAGCUCACCUCCCCUUCUCAGUGCCAUAAAUCACUUUCCUUCUGUGCAUUCAUCUGCAGGCCAUACCACUUCUUGCCAAGGCUUUUGCACUGGAAGAACUAAAAUGCAGUGGAGAAGCCUCAAAAAGAGGCAAGAGCCUUAUUUUCUUGUGUCUGUCUCAUUUUCUCACCUCUGUGGCACCAUCUGUUGUCAGAGGUCCAUCAUUUUAAAGCCGUGUUGAAGUA